GGCCUCUGUAGAUGGACAUUGUAACCAUAGUGACACAGCUACUGUCAAUAUUGGUGUUUCAGAUAUUAAUGACAACAAACCUACCUUCACUCAAGGGUUAUAUGAAUGUACAACAGCUGAAAACAUGAUAGGAACAAUACCUGGCUGUAAGAUAGCUGCUACAGACAAAGACUCUGGACAAAAUGGCAACUUUACCUUUAAAUCAUUGAAUGCUAACUACAGUAUCACCAGCAUGGGUGGUGUUAAAUUGAAUACAAAGCUUGAUUAUGAAUCUGGUCAGACAGACUACUCUGUGAUUAUAGAGGCUAGAGACAACGGC